rnacentral:tRNA from 1 species
GGAGAGAUGCCAGAGUGGUCGAAUGGACCGCACUCGAAAUGCGGCAUACGGGUAACCGUAUCCAGGGUUCGAAUCCCUGUCUCUCCG